UACGGGGGGAGCAAGCGUUGUUCGGAUUUACUGGGCGUAAAGGGCGCGUAGGCGGUCAGCACAAGUCAGUUGUGAAAUCUCCGGGCUUAACUCGGAAAGGUCAACUGAUACUGUGCGACUAGAGUGCGGAAGGGGCAACUGGAAUUCUCGGUGUAGCGGUGAAAUGCGUAGAUAUCGAGAGGAACACCUGCGGCGAAGGCGGGUUGCUGGGCCGACACUGACGCUGAUGCGCGAAAGCCAGGGAAGCGAACGGG
rnacentral:rRNA from 1 species